rnacentral:rRNA from 1 species
UACGUAGGGGCCGAGCGUUGUCCGGAGUUACUGGGCGUAAAGCGCGCGCAGGCGGCUCGUCAAGCCUGACGUGAAAGCCCCCCGGCUCAACCGGGGGGGGUCGUCGGGGACUGGCGGGGCUUGAGGUCGGCAGGGGUUGGUGGAAUUCCCGGUGUAGUGGUGAAAUGCGUAGAGAUCGGGAGGAAUACCGAUGGCGAAGGCAGGUCUCUGGGCUGACACUGACGCUCAUGCACGGAAGCGUGGGGAGCAAACAGG